rnacentral:rRNA from 1 species
CGGGACGGGUGAGUAAUGUCUGGGAAACUGCCCGAUGGAGGGGGAUAACUACUGGAAACGGUAGCUAAUACCGCAUAACGCCGCAAGACCAAAGAGGGGGACCUUAGGGCCUCUUGCCAUCGGAUGUGCCCAGAUGGGAUUAGCUAGUAGGUGGGGUAAUGGCUCACCUAGGCGACGAUCCCUAGCUGGUCUGAGAGGAUGACCAGCCACACUGGAACUGAGACACGGUCCAG